rnacentral:rRNA from 1 species
GACAGAGGGUGCAAACGUUGCUCGGAAUUACUGGGCGUAAAGCGCGUGUAGGUGGAUUGGUGUGUCAGAUGUGAAAUCCCUGGGCUCAACCCAGGAACUGCACCUGAAACUACCAGUCUUGAGUGGUGGAGAGGGAGUGGAAUUCCUGGUGUAGAGGUGAAAUUCGUAGAUAUCAGGAGGAACACCAGUGGCGAAGGCGGCUUCCUGGACACCAACUGACGCUGAGACGCGAAAGCGUGGGGAGCAAACAGG